CUGUAGUAUCCUGGCCGUCGUCCGCACAUGUGCAGAGCCAGCGAGGCCAGCUGGCUGUUGGAGCGUCUUCUGCGCAUGCCCGCCAAUCAGCUGAAUGUCGGGCAGUCGAGACGCGCGCCUGGAGAGUCGGGGCGCCUUCAGAACAGGAGACUCUUUCUUUCUGAUGGGGAGCCGACAGUCAACUUUAAAAAUGAGCAUGGCUGCAACCAUCUUCCUUAUUCAUUUUCGGUUGACAUAUUGAUUGCUAGGUGGUUCACAAGUCUAAAUAACUCUUUGUCCCAAGGGAACCAAGGUCAUCGGCUGCUCCUGAGACUGCAGGCUGGGCGUUUUGUGAAAAGCCCACCAACAAGAUGUAUUGGGAAACAUAGUUGCUUGCAUAGCCUUAGGGGUGGAAUUGUUAUGUGUGUCUUCAGACUUGGUUUCACUUUUGACAUACUGAUACUUUGUAACUAAUAAACAUGUUCUUUGAGGAA